rnacentral:rRNA from 1 species
UACGUAGGUGGCAAGCGUUGUCCGGAAUUAUUGGGCGUAAAGCGCGCGCAGGUGGUUUCUUAAGUCUGAUGUGAAAGCCCACGGCUUAACCGUGGAAGGUCAUUGGAAACUGGGAGACUUGAGUGCAGAAGAGAAGAGCGGAAUUCCACGUGUAGCGGUGAAAUGCGUAGAGAUGUGGAGGAACACCAGUGGCGAAGGCGGCUCUUUGGUCUGUAACUGACGCUGAGGCGCGAAAGCGUGGGGAUCAAACAGG